AGUGAACGCUGGCGGUAGGCCUAACACAUGCAAGUCGAACGGCAGCACAGUAAGAGCUUGCUCUUACGGGUGGCGAGUGGCGGACGGGUGAGGAAUACAUCGGAAUCUACUUUUUCGCGGGGGAUAACGUAGGGAAACUUACGCUAAUACCGCAUACGACCUACGGGUGAAAGCAGGGGAUCUUCGGACCUUGCGCGAUUGAAUGAGCCGAUGUCGGAUUAGCUAGUUGGCGGGGUAAAGGCCCACCAAGGCGACGAUCCGUAGCUGGUCUGAGAGGAUGAUCAGCCACACUGGAACUGAGACACGGUCCAGACUCCUACGGGAGGCAGCAGUGGGGAAUAUUGGACAAUGGGCGCAAGCCUGAUCCAGCCAUACCGCGUGGGUGAAGAAGGCCCUCGGGUUGUAAAGCCCUUUUGUUGGGAAAGAAAAGCAGCAGGUUAAUACCCCGCUGCUCUGACGGUACCCAAAGAAUAAGCACCGGCUAACUUCGUG
rnacentral:rRNA from 1 species